ensembl:lncRNA
GGAGUCAUGAGGACUUCAGAUGUGGACAGACCAGUAUGCAAUGUCCAUAAUGUAAGACGCUUAAGACAGUGCUACAGGGAGACAGGAAGGAAAGUGCCAAACUACAUAUGACCAUAUGAGAGUUGUUUGAGAAUUUGAAAGUGCCUUGGUGGAAGAGUGAUGUAAAAUUUCACAGAUUCAUCUAUUGCAGUCCAUGAAGAUGAGAUGUAUCAAGAUGUAGUUUUAUUUUGGUCUUUCAUAUUUACAGGACUCAGCAGGGGCAUCUACAUAGUAGCUCAAUAAAGGAAAAGCAAUAUCUGGCUGCCUGCUUCAUGGAGGGGUAUGUGUUUUCACAAAGACUGUUUUGCCAGCUAACUGGGGAGCCAACACCACCUGUUUACAUUGUGGAGGUGCAUGAUGAAGACCUAAGUCAACAGCUCAACUGUCACGGAAUGGAAUGCACAGCAUUGUGGGAAACCAAAGGCGGCGAAGGAUACAUCUAUGCUGCCUUCAAAAAUCGGAUGAAGGUAUCUCAUGAGACAGGAAAUGAAGCUAAGUUUGGAUUCGUACGUGCCUUGAUGUCUUUCUGCCUUGGAAUGCUCCGAAGGCAGCAUUUUUCAGUUUUCGGAUGCAGCCUGCAUUUUUCUAUGUCUCCUUAAAGGUGGGGUAAGCAAUUUCUGGUAGCCAAUGUUGACAUUUGAAAUCACCAAAACAAACACACCCCUACCCCAAAAGACUCUCACCCCUAUUUUGAUAGCUCCGCCCCACACAUAUGUACGCAACCCAGGCAACGAUUAGUUCUGUGCAACAAAGCAAAACCAAUGUUACACCAUGUCUACACCGGACGCGAGUGGCGCAAGCGCAACAAAAUACUAUGGAACUCGUUAUAAUCAGUGAUGCUGUCUACACCAUAGAUAUAGAUACUAGGGGUGUAACGGUACGUGUAUUCGUACCGGACCGUUUCGGUACAGGGCUUUCGGUACGGUGCACGUGUGCACCGAAUGACCGAAUGCAAUAUUUUGUGUGCGGAACAUAGGUACAUUUUCGUGUUUCCACACGAACAUAUUAAGUGGCGGAAGUCUCCUCAUUCAGCGCAAAUCCUGCUCUGCAGCUGAUUCUAAAGUUUUCAUUGGUCAUGUCAAUAUGUCAAUGCGGGAUUUCCGCUGAAGUGGUUUGAAAAAUCACACACCGCGCGCUGUGCAACAACAUACACGGCAUGAUUUAGCCCAGCCUCUUGCUAGCUAGCGUCAUGGCCAAUGCAGACAAGCCCACAGACAGUAUGGACAAGCCGGAGCUUGAAGAGCCACCCAUAUCGGUUUCCCAGUGAAAUACGUCAACGGACAAAGACUAGUCAAUAAGACGAAAGCAGAAAACUGUGGAAAAGUUAUUAAAAAUCUGAGCAGGUAUAAAAACUGAAACUGUUGAUGCUGCACUUUACACUUUGGAAAAGUUAUAUAUAUUUUUUAAAUAUGAGCAGGCCUACAAGCUGGGAUUGGUAAUGCUGCACUGUAAUCAUAGUUAUUUAUUUAUAUUUUUCAUUAUAUUUUAUUAUGUGAUAUUGGUUUGAGACAGAGUAUUUUAUUUAGUGGAGAAAUUUGCAGCUGUAUUUUAUUUCUUAUUCUUUUUUUAUUUUAUAUAUAUUUUAUUAAAAUGUGUUUAAAAAAAAGUGUAAACAAAUUGUUAAAAAAAAGUUUAUAGUAAUAAACAACCUGCAGUUUAAUGUUUGCAUUUCUUUCCCUUACUGUACCGAAAAUGAACCGAACCGUGACUUUAAAACAGAGGUACGUACCGAAGCGUGAUUUUUGCGUACUGUUACACCCCUAAUAGAUACAUAUCUAUGGUCUACACUGGAUGCGGCAUGGCACGACAUUUGUUGCGUCCAGUGUACUGGUCAGACUUUAGGUCCUACUUCUUGCCUUAUUGCCUUAAGCCUUCUUUUGUUCUACAGACAUUGUACUCUUUUGUUUUUAUCCGGCAUCUCUAUCUUUCUGUCAUCGUUCGGCUCAGCUAAUGUCCGUCCUGUGCACUGAAAGCGCUUUCCGCCAAAUCAUGGGUAGACACAUCCCUUACUGCUGAUGGCUACAAGUUUGUUUUGCCAGUCUUCUUCUUCUUCUUCUUCUUCUUCUUCUUCUUCUAGGAUUUUAUGGCGGUUGGCAAACCAACUUAAAAGGUGCAUUCCCGCCACCUACUGAAAUGGAGUGUGAAGCGCAUAUUGGAAAGGAAGUUUAAGCUAGAUCUACUCUUUCAAAAAAAAAAAAAAAAUUAAGUCAUGCAUAAGAGUUUACACAGAAGGGAGUUUUACAUUCUAUUAAAUAAUCCUGUUUCCUUUAAAAAUAUAAAUAACUCAUGAUAAAUUCUUGAUUGUUUGGCACCUUCUCCUAGGAGAACCUUAAGUGUCAGCUCAUUGAUUUCUAUAUUUCUUAAAGCGUGUCUUAGCUGGGACCACUCUCUUUCAUAUGCUUCGCAUUCUAUAAGCACAUGUUCUACAGUUUCAGCUAACCCACAUUUAUCACAAUUUCCAUUCUCAUGUUUACCAAUUCUUUGUAAGCAUUUAUUUAAUAAACAAUGUCCAAUACGCAUUCUUGUGACUAAAACGUCCUCUUUCCUGUUUCCGAAUCUUCUUCUCUCUGAACCAACUUUUUCUUGAAUGCAGUAAAAAUGUCUACCUUUUGUUCCUUCAUUCCAUUCCUUCUGCCAAAUUUCCUGUAUUUGUUUCGCUAUUAUCACUUUAAUUUCUGUUUUACUUAAUGCCACUUCAACGUCAAUUUGUGAAUGAUUUAAUGCCUGUUUAGCCAGAUUGUCAGCCUCCUCAUUUCUUUUCACACCCAUAUGCGAUGGAACCCAUUCAAGAUUUACCAGAAUUCCAUACUGUCUUGUUCUGUAUAGACUCUGCAUUACUUCGUUUAUCAUGUCUUGCCUUGCUGAUGAUGUUCCACUUUCCAAGCUAUUUAGAGCUGAUAGAGAAUCUGUACAAAUCACUGCCCUUAUUGGUUACAUUUCUUCUAUCCACUGAAGUGCUAGACAUAUUGCUAUUAUUUCUGCAGUGAAUACCGAAAUAUGAUCUGAAGUUCUUUUUGACAUUCUAAUGUUAAAAAGUGGAAUAUAUACUGCUACUGCUGUUUUCCCAAAUUCUGGGUCUUUUGAACCCAUCAGUAUAUAUUUGCACUGCACUAUAAUAAGUUUGAUCUAUGUAUUGCUGUAUACCUACAUUUUCUAAUCCAUUUGUAUCGUUAUGCUUUUCUUUAAGCAAUUGGAUAUCAAUCAAAGGCAUUGGGAAAAGCCAAGGAGGAAUUGCUGACCUAGCCACAGUAGGGGCAACACUGAAAUCACUUAUUCCUAUUCUCCGGGCUUCCUCACUAGCCUUCCAUCCAAAACUUGAUAACUUUUUAUGUCCAUAUUCCCAACAGUCCUCCAACACCAUUUUAACAGGGUGACUGUCCAAGUGUCCCUUUAUGCUUAUGAAAUACCUCAUCUUUAACUUGAGCCUACGAAUUACUUGAGGCAUUAAACCCAUCUCUACUUGCACUGCUGAUAUUGGGGAGGAUCUAAACGCUCCACAACAAAUUCGCAUAGCUUGUGACUGAAUUGCCUCUAGUUUUACGAGUUGUGUAUUGGAUGCAGUGCAAUAUACCAUACUGCCAUAAUCUAUUGCAUAUCUUAUUAGAGCA